AUGAACAAGGAAAAUUGUACUCCUGUGGCUUGCCAUUUCGUGAGUGUUGAGAAACAGGUGAAAAAAAACCAAUUUGGAUUAUGAUCUUAACAACAAGCUGCUGUGAGUGAGCACACAUGUUCCAGUGUUCAGCCUACAUGUACAAACUGACUGGGGAUUUAGGAAUGAAACCCUCCCAGGGCGAGGCCUUCACCGAAGGCAUGACCACGGCCAGUGAUUCGGGCAGGUCGGCGGCACUCUCCAUGGAGUUGGGCAGGCACUUGGGGCUGAGCGGGCUGCACGUGGAAGAGUCAGAGUUCUGCACGGUCCCACGGCCGAUGACCUCCACCCUCUGGCUCACGCUGCAGCUGGGAGGUAGGGCUAAGGAAGGGGAAGAAGGAUUAAACCACAAAAGCAGGGAAACUGUUAGGAAGGAUUUCAUAAUGGACUUAAAAAGACUGAGCAGCAGGUGUGUGAGGCGUCAUGGCGAGGGCACCUGGUGAGCGGGACCUAGGAGUCGUCCUCGUCCUCUGAGUCGCCGGGGAUGGUGAUGAUGCUGACAGCCAGGCUAGGCGUAUUGGAGAUGACGGGUUGCGAUGGUUUGACGGUGCCCCCAGACCCACCCCCACUGCCAGACAGGCUCUUGCUGCCAUCGAAGCCUGCACACUGCCACUUGCAGAGCUCCAUGAUCCGGUAGCAAGAUUUCAUACCGGCAGCGAGAGAGAGACACGGGCAGGGAGCAAGUUACAGGACUACCAGAGAAUCUGUGAUGCCAUCUGGAUUUCUAAAUUAAGAUGGUGUUCCUUAAAAAAUGUAAAUACACUGUGACGUGUAGAUUGGAAGGCCUGAAACUGGAAGAGGUGGGUCAUGGUGACACAGGUGGUUCAGGGUCUUCCUUUUGUCAGCAUCUAGCGUGAGCAUCUUCUUGAGCAGGUCGAUGACCUCCCGCCGGUCGGCCUUCUCAGCCAAGACCUCAGUGCCUUCCAGACUGGUCAUAUUGACCUGUGCGACAGACCCAUGGUUGUCAUAUUAUGGACCAGCAGAGGGUGCUGAUGCACCUAACAUGCAGCAAAUUACUUUGCACUGCUCUGCCUUUCACAGACGCUGUUCUCUAGGACUUGCGUGUGUUACUUAUUGUGACCGCACGAACGCUCGAGCUGUGAGCUAGCACCUUGCUCUACCUGCUCGAUAAUUUGAGCUGCAGGAGCUGUUCUUCAAUUUCACGUCACAACAGUAAAGAAAUGCAUGCGGUUAUGCACACAAAAACCCAAAUAACCUGCAUCAUGUCGUCAAAGCAGGUGAAAAUGCAUUUCCUAGUCUCUUUGGGAUUGAUGCCAAACUCCGGUUCAUGCUCCUCAGGAAAAGAAAAAACAAACCAUUCGGCUCCAACAUUGUUACAUGAAAUCAUUAAGCUACAUCCCUUAUGAAACAAACACAUGGCAUUUGGCAUUUGGUCGGUGUGGAUCAGGCCCAGGCUCUUCAGCUUCAUGAGCACCGUGGCGACAUGCUGCAGCACGGGCCGGAUGCACUUCAGCAGCAGCGGACUGAACAUGCUGUCCUUCAGGAAGUUGUAGAGGCUCUGCCCCAGACCCACGUGGUUCUUGUGCUGGAAGCACUCGUACGUGCAGACGAAGUUGAACUCGUCUGCGUUCUCCCAGCUCAGCCGUCUCAGUAUGCUCACCUGAGGAGGAGCAAAGGAGGGAAGACGGGAUGCGCGUUAAGACUGAGCUAUGUGCACACAGCUUUUAAAGUUUGAUGCUGUGGGCAAAUGGCCUACUUUACCUUCAAUAGCAUCAAGCACUUUUAUUGUGUACCUCCCUUCAACCAUUCACUUUUACAGGUUCUGGCAGAUGCCCUUAUCCAGAGGGAAAUGGUCCCUUGGAAAUAACCCAUGAACUUGCUUUGCUCUUGAUGUUCAAACAAUGCAGAUUAAUGCUUUUUCAUAACAAUAAUUAAUAUUUUAUGCACAUCCAAACAGGCAUAGCUUAUGCAAUUGUAGCUAAGCAUUAUUUUUAUAGUAAGCUUCAAGCUGUCCAUGUGUUAUUUGACCUCUUUCCUACUGAUGCCUCAAAUUAGAACUAUUCUGCUGAUAGCAAACAAGUAUUUUUGUGCUACCCUGUAUACAAAUUCCACAGUGUGAGUUAGCACAUCUGAUGCCAACAGAUCACAUGUUGUAAAACUGAAACAAGCAAUGUUAGAAUCAGGGCUACAGCUGAUUCUAGGCCAUAUCAAAAGAUCAAUUAAAUUGGGCACAGCUUUCCCACCUCAAUUUGGUCCUGUCGAGCAUAGAACAGAUGAUUUUUCAGGAUCUUGAUGGCAACCAUUUCAUUGGUGCCUCGCUCCGAGAACUAGGCAAACCAGGCCAAAACUUCUGUGACCAAGGACGUCCACCACCUCGUAGCUGUUGGAGAUGGAGCGGAGGAUCUCAUUCUGCACCAGCUGGUACUUGCAAUGGCUCAGGGAGUUGCUGCUCUCUUUUGAUGCGGAGUUUGAAAUGGACUGGGUGGAAGAGGUGGUUCCCCCACCCCUGGUCAUGGGCUUAUACAACGAAGGGGUGGAGAGCUCCUCCAGGAUCUGUACGAUGUCGCUGCUGUGCCUCGUCUUGCUUACUCUUCAGGCUACCCCGCUUCCGACAGGCGUCGGUAUGCCGCGCGGCCGAUGUCUCACCUUCACCCGCCACCUGGAUGAGGAAGAAGAUGACGGCAAAGCUUUGCCCGAGACUCCAGAGAGGGAAAAGAUUAGGGCAGGUAAACCAUCGGUUGAAUUGAACCCCGGAUCCGAGGGUCUGGGCAUCCCCGGCUGAGUCCAACGACCAGGGAUGCGCAAGUAGUAGCUGCUCUUGCCCCACGCGUGAUUCUCAAAUUUUACAUUCUUGUAGUGGGAGAUCCCACUAAAGGAAUCUGAAGGGGAAGAUGUAUACAGGACCACUAACUAAACUAAUGCCAUGCAGAUCUAGAUGGGGGCUAUAUUCUAAAUUGAAACUAAAACAGCAGUAGGUUUAAAAAAAGCACAAUCACAAAUCUCUUAUUUAGCUAACGCUAGCUAGCUAAUUAACUUCACAACUUGCUCUCAGUGUUGAUGAUUUUCCCCCCUUUAACCUUAUGGAAAGAAGGCUCAACACCAUCAAACGGAUAUAAAUCAUCCAUGUUUUGCCUCCACAUCACUCUGAUUAUGCUUAAUUGAAAUAAUAUAAAUGAUCACACUAUAUCGACAGAAUUCUUUCCAUGGCAAAAAGGUAAAUAAUAGGCAGGAAUAGUGUCAUAAAGUGGAAUGUCGACCUGCACAUAUUUGAACCUAGCCAGUAGACAAGAUAAAAGGUCGCACAUUUAAGCUGCCCUUUAAGAUUAGUAUAUUUUUCUCUUUCCCCAGAAAUAAUCAAUACUGCAGUGUUUGCUUGUUUAUGCUGAAGCACGCUUAAGUGGGACUUAGUGUGGUUAAUUCAUCUUUGACUGUGCUGAUGUAUUGUGCUAUUUAAAGAUUUUGCAGUUACUUGGUUUUUGUCAAUAUAGCAACAUGCCCUCAGGCCAGCAGACAAGUUGCAUCCCUUAUGAAACAAACACAUGGUAUAUGGCAUUGGAAGACUGGCGAACCUUGAGUCUCCACAGGGGGUAGCUGGAGUCUGGGCACCUGUGGAAAUAGUAGCUUCUCUUGGUGCCUUCGCAAAGCAGGUACUCUGCUGGUAGGCCCUGCGUCUGGGA